GAUGAACGCUGGCGGCGUGCUUAACACAUGCAAGUCGAACGGGAAACCUUUUAUUGUAAGUCUUCGGUCAGAUUUAGAUUGUUUUCUAGUGGCGGACGGGUGAGUAACGCGUGGGUAACCUGCCUUAUACAGGGGGAUAACAGUCGAGAAAUGACUAGCUAAUACCGCAUAAGCGCACAGAGCUGCAUGGCUCGGUGUGAAAAACUCCGGUGGUAUGAGAUGGACCCGCGUCUGAUUAGGUAGUUGGUGGGGUAACGGCCUACCAAGCCGACGAUCAGUAGCCGACCUGAGAGGGUGACCGGCCACAUUGGGACUGAGACACGGCCCAA
rnacentral:rRNA from 1 species